CCAAUAGCGUAUAUUAAAGUUGUUGCGGUUAAAAAGCUCGUAGUUGAAUUUCGGGGUUAGUAGAUUGGUCAUGCCUCCGGUAUGCACUGGUCUUACUGAUUCCUCCUUCCUGAUGAACCGUAAUGCCAUUAAUUUGGUGUUGCGGGGAAACUGGACUGUUACUUUGAAAAAAUUAGAGUGUUUAAAGCAGGCUAACGCUUGAAUACAUUAGCAUGGAAUAAUGAAAUAGGACGUUCGAUCUUAUUUUGUUGGUUUCUAGGAUUGACGUAAUGAUUAAUAGGGAUAGUUGGGGGCAUUAGUAUUCAAUUGUCAGAGGUGAAAUUCUUGGAUUUAUUGAAGACUAACUACUGCGAAAGCAUUUGCCAAGGAUGUUUUCAUUAAUCAAGAACGAAAGUUAGGGGAUCGAAGACGAUCAGAUACCGUCGUAGUCUUAACCAUAAACUAUGCCGACUAGGGAUCGGAUGAUGUUAAUUUUUUAAUGACUCAUUCGGCGCCUUACG
rnacentral:rRNA from 1 species